GAUGAACGCUGGCGGCGUGCCUAAUACAUGCAAGUCGAGCGAACAGAUGAGGAGCUUGCUCCUCUGACGUUAGCGGCGGACGGGUGAGUAACACGUGGAUAACCUACCUAUAAGACUGGGAUAACUUCGGGAAACCGGAGCUAAUACCGGAUAAUAUAUUGAACCGCAUGGUUCAAUAGUGAAAGACGGUUUUGCUGUCACUUAUAGAUGGAUCCGCGCCGCAUUAGCUAGUUGGUAAGGUAACGGCUUACCAAGGCAACGAUGCGUAGCCGACCUGAGAGGGUGAUCGGCCACACUGGAACUGAGACACGGUCCAGACUCCUACGGGAGGCAGCAGUAGGGAAUCUUACGCAAUGGGCGAAAGCGUGACGGAGCAACGCCGCGUGAGUGAUGAAGGUCUUCGGAUCGUAAAACUCUGUUAUUAGGGAAGAACAAAUGUGUAAGUAACUAUGCACGUCUUGACGGUACCUAAUCAGAAAGCCACGGCUAACUACGUG
rnacentral:rRNA from 1 species